AUACGUAGGGGGCGAGCGUUGUCCGGAAUGACUGGGCGUAAAGGGCGUGUAGGCGGCCGAUUAAGUCUGGAGUGAAAGUCCUGCUUUCAAGGUGGGAAUUGCUUUGGAGACUGGUUGGCUUGAGUGCGGAAGAGGUAAGUGGAAUUCCCAGUGUAGCGGUGAAAUGCGUAGAGAUUGGGUGGAACACCAGUGGCGAAGGCGACUUACUGGGCCGUAACUGACGCUGAGGCGCGAAAGCGUGGGGAGCGAACAGGAGUAGAUACCCUGGUAGUCCACGCGGUAAACGAUGAAUGCUAGGUGUAGGGGGUAUCGACCCCUCCUGUGCCGGAGUGAACACAAUAAGCAUUCCGCCUGGGGAGUACGGCCGCAAGGUUGAAACUCAAAGGAAUUGACGGGG
rnacentral:rRNA from 1 species